UGGAUUCACAGACUGACCAUGAGUUCAGGUUCCAGAUCAGGUUCCAGAUCAGGUCCAGAUUAGGCAGGAUCACUGUCCAAGAUGAACGACCAAGUCAGAGAACGAAACCAGGUCCAAUCCAACCUUUAGUCCAAUGUUCUGACCACAGAGGAGGAACCUGAAUUCAUGGUCAGUCUGUGAAUCCAUGGAUCCUCUGCUCCAGAAAUAACAUCUGUGAAGUGGGGACAGAUUUUGGACAGCAGAAUCACGUUGGUAAAUCUGUAUUCGUCAAUUCAUAAAGUUGUAUUUCCUGUUUGUAAUUCUUGUCCAAACUUAUUCAUUCAUAUUCUGAUAAAAUACACACAAUACAUUUAAUGUACGACUGAACUCAUUCAACAGUUUACACAUAUUUAUUUUUGCACAAAUAUAAACUAAUAUGAACACAUAUCUGUCUGAUGCACAUGAAUCUUUUGACACCGAUCUAACCCUAUAGUCUUUUCUGUAUUUAAUUGUGGGGAAUUUGAGUGUUGUACAGUCAGAGCACUUUAUGAACAUCUUAAGCCUUAAAUCCCUUUGAAAUAGUCAUCAAGAGCGACGGUGGAAAAGGUUUGGUAUGGGGGAAGUUUAAGGAUGGUGGGUUUAAGGUCUGCUGAAGGUCGACCUGAGUCUGUAUAUAGUGUGGGUUGUACUGAUGAGUUUCAAACUAAUAUUUUAUUCCUGUACUAACACUGUCAUUUUUAACUAACCACAUAACAAGUAUUUAAUCACAAUAAUGCCCCCCCCCUCCCCUCUUCUCACUUAUUUCACCCCCAAGUGAGUGCUAUUUAAUUGGCUGUAGAAGGUGUAGAAGGUGGACGGUGUGAACAGAAUAGGGCUGCUGCAGUAUCCAAUGACGGUGGGAGCAGGUCUCGCACCACAGAAUUAGUUUGUACCGAUUCAUUCUGCCUGUGUUUUGUACGUCAUUUGUUGGGUUUUCGUGUCGCUUCAGAGAAUGACCUUUUUACGUGUAAGAAUAUGUUUCUGAGUUUGGAGUCUUGGUAGCAUUCUGUAAACUAAAUCUGAGUAAGUUGUUAAAUCCUCAAGGAAAAUGAAAAUAUUUGUUGUGUUGUAAACAGAACUGAUCAUAUUUUUUCAGUCUUUUUCUUUGGUGUACUUGAUCUGGGGCCAUGUUGGGACUCAUUUGGAAUGUACUGUCUCUCAUACUGUGUAAUGAUGCUGUUUUCUACUCUGUUACGAACUGUAGCACACCGUGGAAUGUCUUCUGCUGUCUGAUGUGUUUGCAUCCUCUCAGUUUCCAGUGUCUUGGAGCUUCCUCCAGCUGGUUCAAACCUGAAAUCAAAGACCAAACUGCUGUGCACUGGGGGUCAUAAAUGUAUUUUUCAUAUAAUGUACUCUGUAAGUUGAAAAUAAAGGAUAUACAUUUAGCUCUAAAUCAAAAUUAUUCAAACUAUAUUCUAUUUAUUAACAUAUAAUGUUUUGUAGCCAUCUACUGUAGCUCUAUCUCAUCAGUGCAGGAAAUGGUCAUGUGUGUUAAACAGUUUCACUCAACAGUGUGAUGUGUUGAUAUUUGAUUAUCCUUUUUAUUUAGUUUUUCUGUUUUUUUUUUUUUAGAUAUUUAAGUGCAGCUGUUUUCUCUUUCACUCCUCUUUAUAACCAGGCCAUUGAACUAAGGCUUAAACAGGCCUGCCCUAUACUGUAUGUAUGAGAUUCUGCAUUCAUUCUACUAAAUAAAGUGUCAUGUUGAAACUGAUGCA